GGCGGUGUAGCUCAGCGGUAGAGCAGUGGCUUCAUAAGCCAUUUGUCGCAGGUUCGAAUCCUGCCACCGCUACCA
rnacentral:tRNA from 1 species